rfam:Salmo salar isolate Sally breed double haploid chromosome ssa03, whole genome shotgun sequence.
AAAGUUACCUUAAAUGGAAGCAUACAUUUUUUGCUGGAAGAAUAAGUGCUUCUCUUUGGGGUAGCCAUA